rnacentral:rRNA from 1 species
GACGAACGCUGGCGGCGUGCUUAACACAUGCAAGUCGAACGGAAAGGCCUUUUCGGAGGUACUCGAGUGGCGAACGGGUGAGUAACACGUGGGUGAUCUGCCCUGCACUCUGGGAUAAGCCUGGGAAACUGGGUCUAAUACCGGAUAGGACCGCACUUUAGUGUGUGUGGUGGAAAGUUUUUUCGGUGUAGGAUGAGCCCGCGGCCUAUCAGCUUGUUGGCGGGGUAAUGGCCUACCAAGGCGGCGACGGGUAGCCGGACUGAGAGGUUGGUCGGCCACAUUGGGACUGAGAUACGGCCCAGACUCCUACGGGAGGCAGCAGUGGGGAAUAUUGCACAAUGGGCGCAAGCCUGAUGCAGCGACGCCGCGUGGGGGAUGACGGCCUUCGGGUUGUAAACUCCUUUCGCCAGGGACGAAGCGUUUUGUGACGGUACCUGGAGAAGAAGCACCGGCUAACUACGUG